rnacentral:rRNA from 1 species
GAUGAACGCUGGCGGCGUGCCUAAUACAUGCAAGUAGAGCGAACAGACGAGGAGCUUGCGCCUUUGACGUUAGCGGCGGACGGGUGAGUAACACGUAGGUAACCUACCUAUAAGACUGGGAUAACUUCGGGAAACCGGCGCUAAUACCGGAUAAUAUUUCGAACCGCAUGGUUCGAUAGUGAAAGAUGGCUUUGCUAUCACUUAUAGAUGGACCUGCGCCGUAUUAGCUAGUUGGUAAGGUAACGGCUUACCAAGGCAACGAUACGUAGCCGACCUGAGAGGGUGAUCGGCCACACUGGAACUGAGACACGGUCCAGACUCCUACGGGAGGCAGCAGUAGGGAAUCUUCCGCAAUGGGCGAAAGCCUGACGGAGCAACGCCGCGUGAGUGAUGAAGGUCUUCGGAUCGUAAAACUCUGUUAUUAGGGAAGAACAAACGUGUAAGUAACUGUGCACGUCUUGACGGUACCUAAUCAGACAGCCACGGCUAACUACGUG